rnacentral:rRNA from 1 species
UGAGGGAAUAUUUGGGGUCAAUGGGCGAGAGCCUGAACCAGCCAAGUAGCGUGCAGGACGACGGCCCUAUGGGUUGUAAACUGCUUUUAUAAGGGAAUAAAGUGGGUCACGUGUGACUUUUUGCAUGUACCUUAUGAAUAAGGACCGGCUAAUUCCGUGCCAGCAGCCGCGGUAAUACGGAAGGUCCGGGCGUUAUCCGGAUUUAUUGGGUUUAAAGGGAGCGUAGGCCGGAGAUUAAGCGUGUUGUGAAAUGUAGACGCUCAACGUCUGCACUGCAGCGCGAACUGGUUUCCUUGAGUACGCACAAAGUGGGCGGAAUUCGUGGUGUAGCGGUGAAAUGCUUAGAUAUCACGAAGAACUCCGAUUGCGAAGGCAGCUCACUGGAGCGCAACUG